CUGUCUGGUGUUAUAGUUUUUUGGGGGGAUACAAUUGUGUUGAAUAACAUCAAUUCACAGUUUUAGCUGUUGAGCUAUGGAAAUACUGUACAUAGUGAAUAAAAUAACUUAUACCCACAUAAAAUAAUCUAUCUUUAAAUGGAAAUCAAGGCAAAUGAUAAAAACCAAAUAGAACUCAAUGCUGUUUACAUUCUGAUCUCAGUUAAAAUCUAUUAGCUGUAUAUUUUAAACCAACUGAAUUUUUUAAUUGUAAAACUUCUAACAUUUACUGCACUGAUAAGACUCAAUAUUAAGUCCAUAGGCAUCUUGGCAACUUUCCCAAAUGUUUGGGCAUUUUCUUCUUCAUGUCUUGUUUUAAUCUUCAUUUGAUUUCAAAUAAAAUUUUCAUCACCUCAUCUGCUAAAGUAGCUCAAAACAAAUUAUCCUUAUGCCAUUGAGAAGAUUGACUUCCCCUGAAGCCCUUUUCUUUGAUUUAUGUCUUCCAUUUAAUUUUUGAAUUUAAACUUUGCUCCUGUUUUUUAGCUACAUUAUUUUAUAGUCCAAUUCUAUUCUUUCAUUUUUUAAAUUGAGUAUAGUCAAUUUAAAAUGUGUUUUCUCUUUCAUUUUUGAAGCAUGUUUAACCCUACUCUUGCCACUUUGUACACUUCCUUCAUAUUUAAAACGACCUUAAUAUAGCAAUUGCUGAUAUUUCCCUGGGUUAAAUCGUUAUUACAUCAUCAAAACAAAAAUUAUACUUAUCUAUGACAAAGCUGGAUGUCAUAGAAAGAUUUCCUCUUUUUACCUUAACAAAUAUAAGAACUGUAGAAUCAAGCUAUUAUUUAUGUUUAAGUUUGAUCCGAAUUUCCUUUCACAGAGUUCCCCUUGUGGCGCAGCAGAAACAAAUCCCACUAGCAUCCAUGAGGAUGCAGGUUCAAUCCUUGGCCUUGCUCAGUGGGUCAGGGAUCCGGCAUUGCUGUGAGCUGUGGUGUAGGUUGCAUAUAAGGCUUGGAUCCCACGUUGCUGUGGCUGUAGCAGAGCUGUAGCUCCGAUUCAGCCCCUAGCCUGGGAACUUCCAUAUGUUGCAGGUACGGCUCCCCCCACCCAAAAAAAAAUAAAUAAAUAAACAAAUAGAUGAAUUUUUUGUCAUGAGUAACAUUGCAGAUUUAUUCUCUAUAAAAAAGUGAAUGAUGGAGUUUAUAAGAAUAUACCUGUUUUUAAAGAUACAAUGAUGUUAUUGUCAGAAAUUCAUAAUCACUUUCCAUCUGUAACUAUUUAUCAUUUUUAUUAGUCGAAAAGUGUGAAAUGCUGUAUUUUAGAGAAAAAAAAAAAACCUGAAUUGAUAAGAGGUAUAGAAUUUUAGCCUUAUUGAGUGAAAAUUUAUGCUCAUGGCUCAAUAAGUCAGAAUGAUUAUGGUAAAUCCUCUUUAAAUAAAACAUAGUGAAAAAUUAUCCUUUCAGUCCACAGAACUGGAUGUUUUAACAAAUGAUGAGAUUAUCAUGAAUGAACAGUACUUAGGUGCAUGGCAUUUCAUUGUGUUGAGUCAUUCUUUUGGAUGGCAAAGUCCACUGGCCAUGAGCAAAAUCUGGCAGACUUUAUACCCAAGAAGAGCCAAAAUUAUAAAUAGCUAAUAUGCUAAAUUAUAGAUAUUCAAGCAACCAGAUGGAACUUUGAAGUUCAGUUUAAUUCAACAAACAUAUGUCAAGGCUUCUACCAUGUCCAGGCAGUGUACCAAGAGGGGUAAAACAUGGUUCUUGCUCUCUAGAAGCAAUCAACCUAGCAAUAGGCACACUUAUAAUAGCAGAAAAUCAACACAAUAUGGGCAGUAAUAGCAUACAAAAUAAAUAGGAAUCGUCUAAGGAAUACAAUUCUAGUAAAAAAUAUUUUUCUGUUACGGGGGUUACAGAAAAUAUCCCAGCUUUUCCUUUCCCAUACUAUCCUUUUCUGAGUAAAUGUUUAAUCUUUUCUAAAUUUAUCUCAACUAAACCUUAUUGAUGCCAACUUUUAAAUUUCUUCUACCAUUUACUAGAGCAAAAUAACUUUUAUAGGGAAGUCGCAUUCCUUCCACUGCUUUGGUUUGUACACUUUUAACUCCCUCUCCAACAUUUAAAAAUCUCUUAAAUUGUUACAACUAUAAGGGAUAUUUCUGAUCCAGUGCAAAUGUAAAUGCUUGUGGCAAAGUGUCCUACAGGAAAGAGGAAGGUAGCAUAAGUCAGAAGUGUUUCAUUGAGUGAUUACUCUGCAGUGGCAAUAUUGGCAAAUAGUGUUGUGUGGAAUGUAUGUUUAUCCUGGGAGUAGGACAGAAGAUGAUGGGCUUAUCAGGGUCACAACACUUGUGCCUUUCACAUCAGUAACAAUGUGUCAUCCUCUUUUUUCCCCCUUCCCCAAAGGUAUAUUUAUCCCAUGGGAUGAUAUGCCUGAAAUUGCCUAUCUUGGUCUUUCUUGUCUCUAUGCUAAUAAAUGGAUAUUUUGUUACAGAGAAAGGUUUACUACAGGGCCAAACAAGAAGAUGUGGCUUGUGCUCAAAACUGCCAAACUCCCAGAUGGUUUUUAUCGGCAAAAUUUAGGUUGAGGGCUGCAGUGUGUGUGACUUUCUUUUGACUGGUUGGUGAUAAGAUAGAAGGGCAGUGCUCUAGGAAUUUGGAGCUCUGCCUUAACUUGCAAUCCUCCCCCCUGGGUGAGGGGGCCUUAGUUCUGAAGAAGAGUUGAGAGAUAUUUUAUGUAUAUUCCUUGAGGAGAAACCAGGAUCCUGGCCCAAGGGUUUCUUGACUUCUCCUCCUUUGUUUUUGCAUCCCCUCCCUUCCCUGAUUAGUUUAGUGAUUAGCAGCUGUUUGAAUCUUCCCUUUUGAACUCUGGGAAGUUCAAGGCUGAAGGAAGCCUAUUUCCUACAAACAAUAAGUAAGGGGGUAGGGGGGGACACAAAAAAGAUUUUUACCUGGGAGCCCUGCAGGGUCCUAUAGUUUCAGGAUUAAGAUCCUUGGAGAUAUGUCCACCGAGCUGAAUUUCCAGGAGUUUCAAGACAUAAAAAUAUUAAGACUAUCAUGGAAAAACUUAAGGGCAGAGGUGACACAUAAAAACUUGGCAAAUAUCACUGUCUUGUUGUUAGAGCAUAUGGAUGAUCUUACCUGUCACUUGGGUGUGUUUUUGGGCCCCAGUUUCAUGACAUCAUGGCUGUUAUGAUAUUGAGGGGGUGAUGAAAGUAGAGGGAAGAUUUCAUGAAAGUAAGACCUGAAAAAUUUCUGUACUCUCUCUGUCUCUCUGUCUCACUCCUCUGUAAGUCAUUAGGGAACAAAUGGUAUUUGCCUUUAGUCU
rnacentral:lncRNA from 1 species